rnacentral:rRNA from 1 species
UACGGAGGGUGCAAGCGUUGUCCGGAUUUAUUGGGUUUAAAGGGUGCGUAGGCGGCCCGUUAAGUCAGUGGUGAAAGCCUCCAGCUCAACUGGAGAACUGCCAUUGAUACUGACGGGCUUGAGUACAGACGAGGUUGGCGGAAUUGAUGUGUAGCGGUGAAAUGCAUAGAUACAAAUCAAGAACACCGAUUGCGUAGGCAGCUAACUAGGCUGUAACUGACGCUGAGGCCACGAAAGCGUGGGGAGC